GGCGCCGUGGCAGAGCGGCCCAUUGCGAUCGGCGUGAGCGGUGCCUCGCUCACGCCGACUGGAGGAGAGGGGCGGGCACGCCCGUCUCCAUCCCGCGGGUUCGAAUCCCGUCGGCGUC
rnacentral:tRNA from 1 species